UUCAGGGGUAAACCUGAGAAGCCCGAAAGGUCGAAUGGGGAAAUUCAUUCGCGUUUCGGCAGUCGGCGUUGGAUGGACGAGUGACGGAUGGCGUACGCGUCGUCCGCGCCUUCCGUUCAUCGAACCGGCGUCGAACGCGUGCACUUUUCCCCUAGUAGGACGUCGCGAUCCGUUGGGUGUCGGUCUACGGCCCGUGGUGGAGCCCGUGCGGUCGCUUCUGCGUAUCGCACGGACCCGCGGUGUCCCGGCCGACUCGCUCGACGGUAUACAGAUGGCGCGGGGCCGCUACUACACAGUUAGCGUUCGGCCUGCGGCAAGCGCGUUCGUUGUUUGACGGCGAUCGGACCUGGUGCCGGUCCUGUCCGCGAACGACUGUUGGCUGCGGUGUUCUCGAACAGACCUCGAUCGAAACGCCGAUCUGCGACGCUAUAGCUUUGGGUACUUUCAGGACCCACGGACCAAGGAGUCUAGCAUGUGCGCGAGUCAUUGGGACAUAACUAAACCUAAAGGCGUAAUGAAAGUGAAGGUCCGCCUUGCGCGGAUCGAGGGAGGAUGGGUGGUUCGCCCUAAACGGUGGCCGCUCCGCACUCCCGGGGCGUCUCGUUCUCAUCGCGAGAAGAGGCGCACCAAGAGC
rnacentral:rRNA from 1 species